rnacentral:misc_RNA from 1 species
GAUGAAGAACGCAGCUAAAUGCGAUAAGUAAUGCGAAUUGCAGAAUUCAGUGAAUCAUCGAAUCUUUGAACGCACAUUGCGCCCGCCAGUAUUCUGGCGAGCAUGCCUGUUCGAGCGUCAUUUCAACCAUCAAGCCCCAGGCUUGUGUUGGAGCCCUGCGGCUGCCGCAGCCUCCCAAAACCAGUGGCGGGCUCGCUAUCACACCGAGUGCAGUAGUUUACUCUUCGCUCAGGGCGUGUGGCGGGUGCUAGCCGUGAAACCCCCAACUUCUCAAGGUUGACCUCGGAUCAGGUAGGAAUACCCGCUGAACUUAAGCAUAUCAAUAAGCGGAGGA